rnacentral:rRNA from 1 species
CGCGUAGGCGGCCUGUUAAGUCUGGAGUGAAAGUCCUGCUUUUAAGGUGGGAAUUGCUUUGGAAACUGGCGGGCUGGAGUGCAGGAGAGGUUAGUGGAAUUCCCGGUGUAGCGGUGAAAUGCGUAGAGAUCGGGAGGAACACCAGUGGCGAAGGCGACUAACUGGACUGUAACUGACGCUGAAGCGCGAAAGUGUGGGGAGCAAACA